rnacentral:misc_RNA from 1 species
AUCAAAAAUCAAAUGAAAAAUAAACAUUCUUGCCACCAACAACCAUCUUAAUGUUUCCAUUCUAACUAGUAAUUUUACACGUAUAAUAUAUGCACAAAAUACCCAACUAUGAAGUUAUGAGCACAUGUUGAUUCUCCCAAUGGAAUGUCCUAUUAACAUUUCCAAGGCUUCACAGCCUCAAUCAGAUUAGAACUCCCACAAACCUGUCUCAUCUGUCAUGCAUCCUCUUGAUAUAUUCGCCUUCGCCUCAACCCUCCAUCAGCUUCUUGAUCGUUUAGAAUCAAACCAGUGCCUUGCAAAUUCGAAUUUUGCACUUCAGAGGAAAUCCCUGCCUCAUUUUGCCUCUCUUCUAUAUUUUCUCCAUAGUUAUGAAGCCUACGACCGAUGAGAUAGCG